GCUAACGUAGCUUAAGCAAAGCAUAACACUGAAGAUGUUAAGAUGGGCCCUAGAAAGCCCCGGAAGCA
rnacentral:tRNA from 1 species